UACGUAGGCAGCAAGCGUUGUUCGGAGUUACUGGGCGUAAAGGGUGUGUAGGCGGUUUUUUAAGUUUGGUGUGAAAUCUCCCGGCUCAACUGGGAGGGUGCGCCGAAUACUGAAAGACUAGAGUGCGGGAGAGGAAAGUGGAAUUCCUGGUGUAGCGGUGAAAUGCGUGAGAUAUCAGGAGGAACACCGGUGGUGUAGACGGCUUUCUGGACCGUAACUGACGACUGGAGACACGAAAGCGUGGGUAGCAAACAGG
rnacentral:rRNA from 1 species